GCAAAUGGGAGGGGGGACUGCCAGGCUCUCCCUUCCCGAGGGAGGUCGUCCUGUCGCCCUUGACUAAACCCAGGAAGGCUUUUAAAAGAAGCAGAGUCUCCGCGGGGGGAAGCUUGUUCCCUGAGAGGUGGCCGCAGACGAACCCACUGCUCAGUCUGGCAUCCCGAAGCCGCUGCGCUCCUGGCUCUCCCCCGCUGUUCCUGCGCGCAGCGGGGGCAGUGCCCCCACACCCACGCGUGAUGGGAAGGCUGGCCUGGGGGUGGGAAGGCCCACCGAAAUAGAUGGUCCCCACACCUCACCGCUUCCUUGGAUGUGGCUAUUUUUUAUGCCAGUGUCCUCCUGCGCUGACCCUACUUGAACUUGACCGCAACCGGCCCCGCCUUGCAGGCCACCCUCCCGCAGCAGAAAACUGUGCGGAGCUCGCGCUGUCCUCGCCUCCGCUGACCCCACCUCCAUGUCCUCACAGACACUAUUUUUUCACAACACAGCUCAGAUCCCACCUUCUUCAUGAGGUUAUUCAACAAACACUAUUAAACUUGUAAGAUGUACCAGAUCCUGAGUUGGAGGCUGAGAGGAGGACAAGAAAACUGCUCCCGUAGCCUAGAGGGAGGGAGAGUCGCUUAAACCACCUGAUGCAGAAUGCUGAGUGCGGAGACCAGGAGGUGGGUGCAUCACAGAGGGUCAUAAAGGACAUGAACUGCGCAGUACAGGAGGUGGAAGGAGGGGGUCACAAGAACAGAUGUCACCCGAGUUUUACAUCUCUUCCAUUCAACUCACCGGAAAGGACAAUCAAAAUCUGCCAUGCCCUUCACCCCGAGAAAGUCUCCACCCAGACCCUGGAG
rnacentral:lncRNA from 1 species